UCCGCGAUCGCUGCUUUCAGCUGGGCAACAGCACAGGGCGGUCCUGCGCAUCCGGGGGGCUGCGCUCCCAGACCGGUGGCUGGGGAGUAGGUUGCAGGGGUGUCACUGUGUCAGGGGAGGAGGAGGAGGAGGAGGAAGAAGAGGUAGCGGCAAGGUCGCGGUCUGAGGUUCCGGUGCUCGCCGCCGCCCAGCUCCCAGCCGAGGCUUUCUCAACCGCGUCAAUAAAAGGCCGCCCCGACCCGCCCCCGCGCCCCGCAGCCCUGCCGGACACCCCGGGCUGCAGCUGAGCGGGCGCAGACGGGCCGAGGCGGGCGCCGGGCGCGCAGGGACCGAGGGACCGAGUGCUCCCCAUGAGCGCACGUGGGCCGGGCGGUCCGCAAGCCCGGCUGAGAGCGCGCCAUGGGGCAGGCGGGCUGCAAGGGGCUCUGCCUGUCGCUGUUCGACUACAAGACCGAGAAGUAUGUCAUCGCCAAGAACAAGAAGGUGGGCCUGCUGUACCGGCUGCUGCAGGCCUCCAUCCUGGCGUACCUGGUCGUAUGGGUGUUCCUGAUAAAGAAGGGUUACCAAGACGUCGACACCUCCCUGCAGAGUGCUGUCAUCACCAAAGUCAAGGGCGUGGCCUUCACCAACACCUCGGAUCUUGGGCAGCGGAUCUGGGAUGUCGCCGACUACGUCAUUCCAGCCCAGGGAGAGAACGUCUUUUUUGUGGUCACCAACCUGAUUGUGACCCCCAACCAGCGGCAGAACGUCUGUGCUGAGAAUGAAGGCAUUCCUGAUGGCGCGUGCUCCAAGGACAGCGACUGCCACGCUGGGGAAGCGGUUACAGCUGGAAACGGAGUGAAGACCGGCCGCUGCCUGCGGAGAGAGAACUUGGCCAGGGGCACCUGUGAGAUCUUUGCCUGGUGCCCGUUGGAGACAAGCUCCAGGCCGGAGGAGCCAUUCCUGAAGGAGGCCGAAGACUUCACCAUUUUCAUAAAGAACCACAUCCGUUUCCCCAAAUUCAACUUCUCCAAAAGCAAUGUGAUGGACGUCAAGGACAGAUCUUUCCUGAAAUCAUGCCACUUUGGCCCCAAGAACCACUACUGCCCCAUCUUCCGACUGGGCUCCGUGAUCCGCUGGGCCGGGAGCGACUUCCAGGAUAUAGCCCUGGAGGGUGGCGUGAUAGGAAUUAAUAUUGAAUGGAACUGUGAUCUUGAUAAAGCUGCCUCUGAGUGCCACCCUCACUAUUCUUUUAGCCGUCUGGACAAUAAACUUUCAAAGUCUGUCUCCUCCGGGUACAACUUCAGAUUUGCCAGAUAUUACCGAGACGCAGCCGGGGUGGAGUUCCGCACCCUGAUGAAAGCCUACGGGAUCCGCUUUGACGUGAUGGUGAACGGCAAGGGUGCUUUCUUCUGCGACCUGGUACUCAUCUACCUCAUCAAAAAGAGAGAGUUUUACCGUGACAAGAAGUACGAGGAAGUGAGGGGCCUAGAAGACAGUUCCCAGGAGGCCGAGGACGAGGCAUCGGGGCUGGGGCUAUCUGAGCAGCUCACAUCUGGGCCAGGGCUGCUGGGGAUGCCGGAGCAGCAGGAGCUGCAGGAGCCACCCGAGGCGAAGCGUGGAAGCAGCAGUCAGAAGGGGAACGGAUCUGUGUGCCCACAGCUCCUGGAGCCCCACAGGCUGAGGACUCCCUCUGCUUCUCCCUUACACCAGGAAUGAACCUUUCCUUCCCACUCAGAGGAGGUUCUGAGAGGACUGAGGUGGGCAAACCACUGAGGAUCUUCAGUGGGGGCAGAGAAAGGGCUCACUGAGAUGGGGGGCAACGCUAUGGCCUCAGCUUCUCCUUGGCGUCGUGUGCAUGUGUUCCUGAAGCCGAAACGGAAUUUAACAGGUCUGGGUCCCAGAUCCAUUUCCAUGACUGGCCAUGGGCUAUCUAUGAUCUGUCAAAAGGGGACUUGGAUUCAAGCUCUCAGAUCCCCUUCCAAUCUAAAACAGAUUCUUUUUUUAAAAAAAAUCCAAAUGUGAUUACGUCACUUCAGACUAAAAACUUCCAAAGGCUUCCCCCAUUUGCUCUGAGGAUCAAGGCCAGGGCAAAUGGGAGCUCACUGCAGCCUCAACCUCCUGGGCUCAAGUGAUCUUGAUCUUCCCAUUCCAGCCUCCUGAGUAGCUGGACUACAGGCGCAUGUCCCCACACCCAUUACUGCCCUCCAUGAUCUGGUCUGGGUCUACCCUGUGGCCUCUUCUCUCACUCUCUAAAUACAGUCACAUUCCUUCCUGCCCAAUGGCCUGGAAACAUGCGCUUUCCUGAAGGUAACUCCUUCCCCACACUUGCCUAUGUUAUUCAACUUUUGGGUUUCAGAUGUAAUGUUAUUUCCUCAGAGAAGACUUCCUUGACCUCCAUAUACCCCAACUUGGGCUAGGUCUGCUAUGUCCUCUUCAUAGUACUCACCAUGAUUUAAGUAUUUCUGAAGUUAGGUGAUGCUGGUUUCCCCAGUUAACCAUAAAUCCAAUGAGCACCAUCAUUUUCAUUACUGUAAUUUCUUUUUUUUUUAGACAGGGUCUCGCUGUUGCCUAGGUUGGAGUGUAGUGGCAAAAUCGUGGCUUACUGUGGCCUCAACCUCCCGGGCCCAGGUGAUCCUGAUCCUCCCACCUCAGCCUCCUGAGUAGCUGGGACUACAGGCACAUGCCACCACAUCUGGCUAAUUAAAUGUUUUUUUGUAGAGAUGGGCAUCUCACUAUGUUGCCCAGGCUGGUCUUGAUCUCCUGGGCUCAAGCCUUGGCCUCCCAAAGUGCUGAGAUCACAGCAGGAGCCACUACACUCAGGCAAUUACCGUCAUUCUAAUGCAAUAUUUAUUCCUCAAUUAAACAAAUGCAUUUUAUUCUUUUUUUUUUGAGAGGGAGUUUCGCUCUUGUUGCCCAGGCCGGAGUGCAAUGGCAUGAUCUCGGCUCACCGCAACCUCUGCCUCCCAGGUUCAAGAGAUUCUCCUGCCUCAGCCUUCCUAGUAGCUGGGAUUACAGGCCUGUGCCACCACACCCGGCUAAUUUUGUAUUUUUAGUAGAGAUGGGGUUUCUCCAUGUUGGUCAGGCUGGUCUCGAACUCCUGACCUCAGGUGAUCUGCCCACCUCGGCCUCCCAAAGUGCUGGGAUUACAGGCAUGAGCCACCGUGCUCGGCCACAAAUGCGUUUUAUUCUAAAAUAACCCUCCUGACAAGAAAGGAUCAUGGAUUAACACAUGGAGGUGUUUACACCCUAAACCUGCCCAAAGUUCAACUUCAAUGUCCAAACAAUUUUUGUGUUUUUUUUGAGAUGGAAUCUUGCUGUCACCCAGGCUGGAGUGCAGUGGUAUGAUCUUGGCUCACUGCAACCUCCACCUCCAGGGUUCAAGCGAUUCUCCUACCUCAGCCACCCAAGUAGCUGGGAUUACAGGUGCCCACCACCACGCCUGGCUAAUUUUUGCAUCUUAUUUUUAGUAGAGAUGGGGUUUCGCCAUGUUGGCCAGGCUUGUCUCAAACUCCUGACCUCAGGUGAUCUGCCUGCCGUCGGACUCCCAAAGUGCUAGGAUUACAGGCGUGAGCCACUGUGCCCAGCCUAAAUGUCCAAACAAUGUUUAAUCUUCCCUAGACAUAUUCUAAAAAAUACAGCUUGACUUUAUUUUUUCUUAUGGAAAGGACUGUCACUAAAUGAAAUGGAACUAAAAUGACACCAUAUAUACCUGAAAGUAGUGGUUAGUGGGAGGGAACGCUGGCCUGUGAAAGGUACACCCAGCAAACAUAUCAAGAGCAAAUUAAGAGACCUGCAUUUGAAUCCUGGCUCUGUCUCUUCCUAGCUGUAUCUCCUCUGGGAGAAGUAUUUAACCUCUCUGAGCCUCAGGUUCCUUACGAGGGAGCUAACAAUAACAUCUACCCUGUAAGGUUAUUGCUAAAAUUAAAUGAGAGGAUCGGUGUAGAGUAGAAGUCACAAUGCCAGCAUAUAGGGAACUCUUUUUUUUUUUUUUUUCCCUGAGAGACAGACGGAGUCUUGCUCCAUCACCCAGGCUGGAAUGCAGUGGCACGAUCUCGGCUCGCUGCAACCUCUGCCUCCAGGGUUCAAGCGAUUCUCUUUCCUCAGCCUCCCGAGUACCUGGCAUUGCAGGCGCGCGCCACCACACCCGGCUAAUAUUUAUAUUUUUAGUAGAGACGGAGUUUUGCCAUGUUGGCCAGGUUGGUCUUGAACUCCUGACCUCAGGUGAUCCGCCCACCUCGGCCUCCCAAAGUGCUGGGAUUACAGACAUGAGCCACCGUGCCCGGCCCAGGGAGCUCUUAAUACAUAUUAACUGUUACUGCUUCUUAGGAUGUUAAUAAGUUCUUUCCUUAUGUAGGCCCUUAGGGCCCGUUUCUGAAUGGCCUAUGUGUAAAUACAAGGACUUAACACAAGGCUAUGGCCCAUUCCUUGCUCUCCAGGAGUCAAAUCUCGGCGAUUUUGCAUCAGUGGCAGCCUAAGCGUUACAGCAGGAAAGAACUCCACAAAGUGUCUCACGCUUCAUUUAAUCUGAAGAAUAUUACAGGCUCUCCGUCUUCAGAUAUAAAUUAUUUAUAACGUUACAGAACAAGCAGCGAAUUCAACCACUUAAGAACUAAGGAAGUCUACAUGGUGUUAAUUGCUGGCCACAGUCCUCCCGAUCUGGUUUUUUAAAAAAGUCCCCCGGGCCCCCAUUUCAGUAGACGUGCACCAUGCCGUAGAGGAACGUCCAGAACAGGACGUAGGUGAAGAGGCCCCCGAUGAGGCCUCCUGUAAAGAGAGGUCUCCGUGAUUUGAAAUAUUUGUUCCACCUCCUUCCCGCCUUGAGAAUGAGGAGCAGGGAGAGCAGGACGGAGGCGAGCAGGUAGAAGAUGAAGCCGUAGAGGCCGGUGAGGCCGAGGAUGCCGGCCGUGGCCCCCGACAGCGCUGACACCGAGGUCCGGCAAUAAUCCAGGACGGCGGCGUUGCCCCGCACGGCCGCCUCGCUGAUGAACGGCGGCCCUUCCCGCUUGGCCACCACCGCGGCCAUCGCACCAGCCCGGGCUCGGCCUCUCGCUUUCUCGCGGAACAACGCGGAGCUGCGGAGAAAACCAAGUUACAAGUGGCGCCCGGAGCUCGCAAAGAGUUGAAAUUCACAAGCUGCGUCAAGGUGAGAACUUAAUCCUGGGUUUCAGCAUUGGAGGUGGAAUCGACCAGGAUCCUUCCCAGAAUCCCUUCUCUGAAGACAAGACGGACAAGGGUAUUUAUGUCACACGGGUGUCUGAAGGAGGCCCUGCUGAAAUCGCUGGGCUGCAGAUUGGAGACAAGAUCAUGCAGGUGAACGGCUGGGACAUGACCAUGGUCACACACGACCAGGCCCGCAAGCGGCUCACCAAGCGCUCGGAGGAGGUGGUGCGUCUGCUGGUGACGCGGCAGUCGCUGCAGAAGGCCGUGCAGCAGUCCAUGCUGUCCUAGCAGCCACCACCAUCUGCGACUCCUGCCUGCCGCCUCUCUGUACAGUAACGCCACUUCCACACUCUGUCCCCAUCUGGCUUCUGCUGACCGCUGGGCCCCAGCUCAGAAGGGCUAUAGCUGGUCCCAGAGGCCUGGCCUGGCCUUCCUUCCCUUCUCCCAUCCCUGGCCUGGGGCCUCUGGGACCGGCUUUCUCUCCUGGACACCGAGGAUUGGAAAUAAGGGCCUGGAGCUGAGUAGUAGCCAGUCUGCUGUGACCACAGGCUCAGGUCCGACCCUGCUGCUUGGCCACAGCAGUGGCUGGGCAAGUGGGAACCACUAUCUCUUGGGAGCCCCCAAAAGCUGGGAAAUGCUGGAGGAACCAGGCCUUUCCCGCUUUUGCCUGGCUGCAGGGUUCGGCUCCGCCCCUGCCCCCCAGCCCUCGUGUGUCCACACCGCAGUGCCUCUGCCCCUCGGGGGACUGGACACACAUCCUGCCAGAGGCGCUACGAAGCUUUGCCCAGAUGAAGCCAGGUGGGCUCCGCGUUCACUCCCACUCUCCCGAGGGGUGCUGGCCUCCCCAGGGUUUGCCUUCUUACGGAUUUAGACGAGGUUCGAGGCUCACCUAUCAGGGCAGCUCUCAGGAUUGUCAUUUUCCUCUUUGCCUGUGGGUUUAACUUUUGUAUUUUUUUAAUCACAAGUUUGAUACAAAAUGUUUUUAUCGUACUCUUUGGAGAUGCCCAUUCUACUUUUGAAUUUAGCUUUUACUAAUUCGCAUCUGGAAGCUCAGCAAGUGCACAAGCCUUACUUUGGUUACCGUGGAAACCACUGCCGCCCCUCCCCGAUGUGGUGCGCUCAAUAAAAAUGCUGGAAUUCACA